UGAGCAACUCUAAUAGUCGUAACCUCCGGAGAUUACUGCACUGUUUGUAAUGAGGCAACUCUUGUCUCAACCCAUUUACACGUAGAUAAACAGCCGUGCGUGGUACGCUAUCGUGCAACAAAAGCUAUAACGAUUUCAGCCUCUAUUAGCUUCUCUUCUUCUUCUUGUUUAUAUAUAAAAUCUUCCCUUCAAGCCAUCAAACUCUAUAUAAAUAUUGGCUAAAGCAAUCCAUCAUAAUCUGAUUCAUUCAAACUAUUUUGAUGAGAAAGUUUUAAAACAGAAAGCUUUGACGUUCAAGAGCAUGUCUCGAGGGAAAAAGAUGUUCCAGACAAAGCUAAAAUCAGGCAGAUCGCAGAUGGAGCGUGGAAGUAACGACGUGAAUGAAGAGUACAAGGAAGCUUUCAGAACAAAGUCUUAUGUUGACAUGUGGAGCCAAGUUCAUGGCCAGAUGGAAAUAACUAGCUUUGAUAGACUCCCAUCAUCAUCUUCCACUCUUAAUUAUCAUAUAAACCUGUCCAAUUACCUGCUUAAACCUAGGCAAGAAACACUAGACAAGAUAGGGACCUUGAAUUUUCAUCACCUUCUUCUUGACUAUUUUGAAGCUGGUUUGGAAGCUUGUCAUUUAUGUGAAUUACUUCUACGAAGCAUCUAUCAGACGCGUGUUUAUUAUCAGAAAAUUAGAAGAGUGAUCAAGAUAAACAAGAGGAUGCAAGAUUUUUCAGAUGAGCAAUGCGGCGUUCUACUCAAGGAGAUGGCUAGAUUUGCAUUACUUAAAAACCCGUUAUCGAUCAUUAGUCCAGUGCAAUUCCGGAAGAUUCAUGACACUAACCUGGAUUUGUUUCGUAAAUUAACGUCAAAACGCGAAAAGGUAAAACGGGAAGCAAAAUCUAAAAGAAUGCCCAAACAGAUUGGGAGUCUUUGUCUAGUAAUUUCUCAUACUACUCUUGUGAUUGCCUUGCUGGUACUUGCAUUCCACAGCAUGAUUGGAGUUCUAGCAGCGCCAGGGCUUGCAGCCUGGUUCUUCGGCGUAAGGAAGAAGAGAAAAAGCAGGCCAUCAUCUCAUCAGCUAGGGCUUAAGACAAGCUUGCUUGAAAGACUUGGUGCCCAGCUUGAUAUCUCAGCCAAAGGGAUUUAUAUUUUGAUCAAUGAUUUCGAUACCAUAAGUAGACUGGUAUGGAGGCUGCACGAUGAGAUAGAGCACCGUAAAGCUAUGGCUAGUAUGUGCAUUAGAAAUGGGAAAAUGGAGGUACUGAAAGAGGUGGUAAGAGAAUUAUGUAUGCACGAUUCCAGCUUCCAGGAGCAGCUGAAAGAGCUUGAGGAACAUACUAAAUUAUGUUUUCACACGAUUAACAGAUCCAGAGGGCUCGUUAUACAAGAAAUAAUUGAUGCGCAAACAUAGUAAGUAGUACAAUUCAACGGGAAUCUUUUGUCUUGCUCAUAGAGUUUAGUGAAGACAGUGUUCAUGGCAUAAUUAAGUACCAAGUAGACUAGAGUCUGUACCAUCGGUUCCGACACUUUCGCCACCUUACAGUUUUCAAGAUUUAUAUUUGCAAGAUCUGCAUCAAUCAAAAUUUGGCCGUUCUCUGCCAGCAAAGGCAGAAUCUGUACUUGCAUGACUGAAAGAUACAUGACCAUGCAAAGCACUUUCGGCUAAAACAAAACCAGGACUUACUUCCAUUACAGGUAAAGAGCUAUUCCCUUUGCCAGACAUGAUUUGCUUCUUCACCUCUAAGUGAAAUUCGUUUAGUCCAUGACUCAAGAUAACUGAAUUAUGUGGAUAAGAAAGACUAUCAAUAAAAACCACAGUUGCAUCCAUUAAAGAAUUUAU